AAAGAAAAUAUUUACUUCCUUCCAAAGACCCAGGUACAGCACGUCUUUCAGUAGUUGAGGGCAUCGCUGGUCUUUGGGUUCUCAGUUGUAACAGUUGAGAUAUCAUAAAAACAUGUUCCUCUGCAUGCUUCAGUACAGCCAAGAGCAUUAGCAAAUCUGCCAGUCCUUUUUGGUAGCCUUAUGUAUUGCAGCACUGGAGAUUUGAUUUUUUUUUUUUCUUUUUCAGAAGAUCCCCUAUAUGGUUUUACUUGUAUCUCGCUGGUUUUUCUGUCAUAAAUGAAACUUUAAAAAAAGUUAAAUUGUAUAACUUGCAAAUUGACUUGCAUUAUUUGAACUGUAACUGCCAAAUAGCUAUAGCAUCUAAUUUAUUAGGUGUACUUAAGCAGUUAGGUAUUUUGUCUAAAUCUUGAAAAAGACGGGCAACUGACUGUUAUGGGGUUUUUUUUCCUGAUAUUUUGAUGGAGUGCUCUGAAGUCCUUUAUUUCUGUCUCGCUUUCAAUGGUGCAUUUCCCUGGCAGUUCAGUAGCCUCUCUCUUGGGCACUGCAGCUGGCCAGAUGUCCAUCCUAAUCAUGUAACACACAAAAAAACCCUAGUCAACUUUUAUAGCUGUGUAUUUUGGAGACAGGUAAUUUAAUGGUAUCAAUUCACAGCUAUGCAAGUUAAACUAAUGCAAAAGGAAAAUCAAAUGCUUUUAUCGUAUAGGUAUUGUUAUUGGAUGUAUAUAAACACGUGCACGCCUUUUUAGUAUAAAGUGAAUUACUGAGAUUUAUUCUUUGUUUUUUAUUUUACUCUUUAAAGUUUUAUGCUUCACUUCCAAUUUUGUUGACCCGGCAAGCCAGACGUGUUAUUUUAAUAGGCUGAAAUACAGUUUGGGACUUUUGGUUUUCAGAUGCGGUGGUGUAACCAUCUCGCGAUGCUCGAUAGAUUCCCCCCCCAGCCCAGCUUUGCCUGCCGGUGGCUAAGAAGACUCACCGUAAGGGGCCGGCCCUGUGCCUGGAGGCUCCUGGCUCUGUCUGCAGCGGGUGCCCCGCAGCUAUUCCAGCUUAUGUGUUGCAGGCCAUCCCAGGUGCCUUUAGCAUCAGUCCGGGGAAAGAGCGCUGCCUCCAGAAGCUCCUGCGGAAGGAGGGGUUCCUGCCUGAGGAGAGCUACAGUCACCCCUGUGGAUAACAAUUGCUUGCUCUUUCCCUCUCCCAGAGGCAGCGCUGAGGACUCGGUGUGGGUUCCUCCCCGGGGAUGUUGUGGACUGCAUCUGGCUCAGGUUUGGGUGGGUUGCCUUUGGCCUCGUUCUCCGAGCGGCAUGGGCGAAAAGGGACAGCUGGAGCGCUUACUGGCUGUGGACAGGAGCUGCUGGGGCUGAAGCUGGAGAGGCCAGAAAAAGGAAAGCAGCUGAAGAAUAAAAUAAAGGGGAUCCAGCCAGCAGCAGCCUCCAGCUGCAGACAGGAGACAGCCUGCCUCUCCGGGUGAGGAAGCAUCCCUCUCAGUAUAGUCCUGAACUAUACUUGGGAACUUCCCCGAGCGUCCGAUUCUGCACACUACCAAAUAAAGCAAUGUCUCCUUCCUAAAUGUGGCCUUUCUGUCUGCAUUUCAGAAGUCAGGAAAAAGAAAUAACACCUCUGUCCUUCCUCCUGCUUUUCUCUUCCCUUUUCUCCCUC